CUACGGGUGGCUCCAGUGAGGAAUAUUGCACAAUGGGGGGAACCCUGAUGCAGCAACGCCGCGUGGAGGAUGACGCAUUUCGGUGUGUAAACUCCUUUUAUAUGUCAAGAAAAUGACGGUAGCAUAUGAAUAAGCACCGGCUAACUCCGUGCCAGCAGCCGCGGUAAUACGGAGGGUGCAAGCGUUACUCGGAAUCACUGGGCGUAAAGCACGCGUAGGCGGGUUGGAAAGUCAGGUGUGAAAUCCUACAGCUUAACUGUAGAACUGCACUUGAAACUUCUAAUCUAGAGUAUGGGAGGGGGAGAUGGAAUUAGUGGUGUAGGGGUAAUAUCCGUAGAUAUCACUAGGAAUACCUAAAGCGAAGGCGAUCUCCUGGAACAUUACUGACGCUAAGGCGUGAAAGCGUGGGGAGCAAACAGGAUUAGAUACCCCAGUAGUC
rnacentral:rRNA from 1 species